rnacentral:misc_RNA from 1 species
UAAAUUUAUAAUAAAAGCUCGAUGAAAGAAAAUUAAAAGUUGAGUUACGACUCAGCCUUAUUUUCCCUUACAAUCCAAGUGUCGGUUUUACGUGACACUUACAUAGUCUGAUUUGAAUGCUUCACUAUCUUAAUAUCUCCUAUACCAUUCCGUUUACAGAACUGUCCUAUCUGUAUCGCUAUCAAAUGCCGAAUUUAAAGGCUACAAUAGAAAUCAAUGAACAAAAAAUAUAAGAAGAGGAGUCAGUAAAAUUCCUAGACUGAUAUAGAAACCUAAAAUUAGAAAAACUCACUAACGAAAUGAAAAACGAAAGAAAAGGUACAGGGGCAACCAUAAAUUAUGGUAUCACAACCUCAACAAAUAUAAUGAACAUAGGGACUAACAUAAUAGGUAUGGAAAACAGAACGGAAUGUAUAGAAAAAAAUAUACUGCUAAGGAAAGCUCAGCCCAAACAAUGGAAUAAUA